UACGGAGGGUGCGAGCGUUGUCCGGAAUCACUGGGCGUAAAGGGCGCGUAGGCGGCCCGUCAAGCGUGUGGUGAAAGCCCGGGGCUCAACCCCGGGUCGGCCGUGCGGACUGGCGGGCUCGAGCACUGUAGGGGCGGGUGGAAUUCCGGGUGUAGCGGUGGAAUGCGUAGAGAUCCGGAAGAACACCGGUGGCGAAGGCGGCCCGCUGGGCAGGAAGGCCCCCUCACGGGGGCCGGCUGACGCUGAGGCGCGACAGCGUGGG
rnacentral:rRNA from 1 species